GUAGUCCACGCCCUAAACGAUGCGCAUUUGGUGUGGGCAGUUCAUUCUGUCCGUGCCGGAGCUAACGCGUUAAAUGCGCCGCCUGGGGAGUACAGUCGCAAGGCUGAAACUCAAAGGAAUUGACGGGGGCCCGCACAAGCGGUGGAGCAUGUGGUUCAAUUCGACGCAACGCGAAGAACCUUACCUGGGCUCGAACGGCCUCCCAACGGCGUUGGAAACAGCGCUAUCCCGCAAGGGAGUGAGGUCGAGGUGCUGCAUGGCUGUCGUCAGCUCGUGUCGUGAGAUGUUGGGUUAAGUCCCGCAACGAGCGCAACCCUUGUCCUGUGUUGCCACCCGAAAGGGGGAACUCGCAGGAGACCGCCAGCGAUAAGUUGGA
rnacentral:rRNA from 1 species